UGAGUACGAGCUGCUACGGCAGCGAAGUGGGUGAUGUCAUGCUUCCAAGAAAAGCCCUAUACCCGUUAAGGCAUGAUGGCCUGUACCCGAAACCGACACAGGUGGGGUGGUAGAGAAUACCGAGGGGCGCGAGGUAACUCUCUCUAAGGAACUCGGCAAAAUGGCCCCGUAACUUCGGGAGAAGGGGUGCCACCGCAAGGUGGUCGCAGUGAAGAGGCCCAGGCGACUGUUUACCAAAAACACAGGUCUCCGCUAAGUCGCAAGACGAUGUAUGGGGGCUGACGCCUGCCCAGUGCCGGAAGGUUAAGGAAGCUGGUCAGCGUAAGCGAAGCUAGCGACUGAAGCCCCGGUGAACGGCGGCCGUAACAAUAACGGUCCUAAGGUAGCGAAAUUCCUUGUCGGGUAAGUUCCGACCCGCACGAAAGGCGUAACGAUCUGGGCGCUGUCUCGGAGAGAGGCUCGGCGAAAUAGAAUUGUCUGUGAAGAUGCGGACUACGUGCACCCGGACAGAAAGACCCUAUGAAGCUUUACUGUAGCUUGGUAUUGUGCUCGGGCUCGGGAUGCGCAGGAUAGGUGGGAGGCUAUGAACCAUUGCUUGUGGGUGAUGGUGAGCCACUGGUGAGAUACCACUCUUUCCGAGCUAGAGUUCUAACAGCCACCCGUUAUCCGGGGGCUGGACAGUAUCAGGUGGGCAGUUUGACUGGGGCGGUCGCCUCCUAAAAGGUAACGGAGGCGCGCAAAGGUUUGCUCAGGCUGGUUGGAAAUCAGCCGACGAGUGUAAAAGCAGAAGCAAGCUUGACUGUGAGACCUACAAGUCGAACAGGGAGGAAACUCGGCUUUAGUGAUCCGACGGUUCUGCGUGGAAGGGCCGUCGCUCAACGGAUAAAAGUUACUCUAGGAUAACAGGCUGAUCUCCCCCAAGAGUUCACAUCGACGGGGAGGUUUGGCACCUCGAUGUCGGCUCAUCGCAACCUGGGGCUGAAGUCGGUCCCAAGGGUUGGGCUGUUCGCCCAUUAAAGCGGUACGCGAGCUGGGUUCAGAACGUCGUGAGACAGUUCGGUCCAUAUCCGGUGCAUGCGCAGGAAUAUUGAGAGGAUUUCUCCCUAGUACGAGAGGACCGGGAGGAACGCACCUCUGGUGUACCAGUUAUCGUGCCAACGGUAAACGCUGGGUAGCCAUGUGCGGAGAGGAUAACCGCUGAAAGCAUCUAAGUGGGAAGCCCACCUCAAGAUGAGUAUUCCCAUGGGGUAACCCAGUAAGGUCACGGGAAGAACACCCGUUGAUAGGCUCUACGUGGAAGCGCAGUAAUGUGUGAAGCGGAGGAGUACUAAUAGACCGAGGGCUUGACU
rnacentral:rRNA from 1 species